CCCUUAGAUGUUCUGGGCCGCACGCGCGCUACACUGAUGCAUUCAACGAGUCUAAAACCUGCUCUGAUAGGGGUGGGUAAUCUUUUGAAUGUGCAUCGUGAUUGGGAUAGAUGAUUGCAAUUUUUCAUCUUCAACGAGGAAUGCCUAGUAAGCGUGAUUCAUCAAAUCGCGUUGAUUACGUCCCUGCCCUUUGUACACACCGCCCGUCGCUCCUACCGAUUGAAUGUGUUGGUGAGGAGCUCGGAUUGGCAGCAGUUGGUGGUUCGCCACCGGCUAUUGCUGAGAAGUCCUCCAAACCGCCCCAUUUAGAGGAAGGAGAAGUCGUAACA
rnacentral:rRNA from 1 species